UAUAUAUACACAUACACACACAUGUACAGUACAUAUACAUAAACAUAUUCACAGGACACUCAACUUAUCUCUUAUGUUUUUCCCCACAUCAGAUAUGCAGGUGACAUUUCCACCUGGAUGACAGCACAUAAUCAGCAAGACGGAGAUGCUCUUCAUCCGAGGGAAUGCCUGCCCAUUCACAGAUGUUAGAUGAUCACAUGUCAUUUACAUUCCAGCCCUUAUCAGCUCCAGAUUUGACUACUUCAACUCACACCCUGCUGGAAUCCCUGCAUUCUCAGAUUCCCCUAUGUUAUUAAUCUCUAUAUUGUAAUCAAUAAAGUGUUUCAAAAUGCUGUACUUUUAUUAACAUAUAAUGUUCAGAUCAUUCCUGAGAGAGAAGGGGUGUAAUAUCUCCUGAUGGGCGUGUGGUACUCUUUCUCACCCAUGCCAACAAGAUGUUACUUCUUGUGGGGUCUUUGCCUUGAAAGUAAGUAUGAGAGUAUAAGUAAUGUACAAUUAACCUACUGAAAGUAUACUGACUAAAAGGCAAAACAGAGCUGUCAAAUUAUAUUAUAGCUGUGUCAUUGUAUCCUUCCAAAUUAUAAUCUUAGGUGUAACAUAAUUUUGUUGGGGAAAACUGAAAUGCCCAUCAAACUUUUUUCCCCAGUUUGCUGAAUUUGUUCUGAAAGAGGAGUCGAUUGUCUUUUCAAAUACGGACAAAGAUUUUAACAUCAUGAGAGAAGAAAUAGCAGUCACUCUCCUCCAAAACACUGAUGACCUGAGCCAACUGUGCCACUUCUGUGGGGAGGUGGACAAUAAUGAGGAAGACACUAUCUGGAUUGGUUGUGACCGCUGCCCACGAUGGUUCCACCAGACCUGUAUGAAAACCAUCCUAUCAUGGAGGAUUAUGUCUGCGCUGCCUGUCAGGACUAGGUUAGGCUUGAGUUCCAGGCGACGGUAUCACCUGGAAAACUUUCCAUAAAAAGUGGAAUAAAUGUUCAGUCGAGCUGUUGUAGCUUUCCAAUAUUUUUUAUGUUAUUUAUUGUCUUUUUAUAUUUGAUUUACUGUCAUUUUAUAUUUAAUUAUGCAAAUAUCCAAAUUAGAGGUAGACCGAUUAAUCGGCAUGGCCGAUUUCAAGGUUUCAUAACAAUCGG